GAGGGAGGCCUCGGGAUGACAGGCGCGCCGUCUCCCCUCACCUCUGCACACACUCCACCCAUCCACGGCCCCACCCCAGAUCCCGCGCCGCUCUGAGGUCCCCACCCCUGGGACGAGGGGAAGUGGGACUAAAACGUCUACAGCCCCACCCGGCUCCCGCGGCUACCAGUGACCCAGAAGGUGCAACUGACCAAACGCAGCGACUCAACCGACUGUGCUCUCCCCAGACUCGCAGCUAUGGCAACUUGAACUAGCCGCCCAGCCACAGCAAGAGUACAGGACCCCGCUGCCGCCGCUUGGCCCUCUGGGAGUUGUAGUCCAUCUCGGCCUCAUGAUCAAGGAAUUACCAAGGGAGAGAGUCCCGAAAAGGAACUGCAAAUCCCAGGAUGCCAUAUAGCUGGCCUUCGGGUAACUUUCCCGGAUAAAAGCCUGAUCCCUUGGCCGCGCCCUCUUGCCCUGCUCUAUUUUUUUUUUUUGUUAAAGGACCAGCCUCCU
rnacentral:lncRNA from 1 species